rnacentral:lncRNA from 1 species
AAAGACUUAACAAACAAUGUCGCUAGAGGUCCUGGACAAACUGUUCCCCUUAAAAGGAAUUCCCUCUUUCCAGGCACAAGGAAGGAGACCAUCAAGGGACAUGCAUAGUCAUGCCACUUGUGCAUAUCGCUCACUGGGAUAUUGCCUUGGGCCUCAGUUUCCCCAUCUGUCAAAAGAGGCAUUUGUUCGUUUAUUCAACAAAUGUGUGCUGAACCGGCUCUGCCUAAGAAUGACACCAUGGAUUGGGAGAGGCCAGCCAGAAGGUGGGGGUAAGAACACAUCUAAGGCUACAUACCAAGAUGUAUGCAACUCAAGAAGAAAGAAGUAAGGAAGUGAGGGAAGGGAAAUAAAAUGAAGUCAGAGAGGGAUCAUAGCCAAAACACACAUUACAGAACUCUGUUUAUGCCAGAAUAGUCCUCCCAUUUCGGUCCAAGCCUCUGUGCAGCCAAAUAAAGAUAAAUGUGAUUAGCAACACAAUUCAUAAUACCCACAUGAUCAAAACAAACCAGUGGCCAGAAGGAGUCCACUGUGCCUGAAAUAAGGCUUGAAAGAAAUUUCUCUGGGGAGACAGGGUUCUCCUAAAGGGGCCGAAAUAGGAUGCAGCCGAUGACGCCCUGACAUCAUCGCACAGUGGACGCGCAAUGGCUGUGCACGCUCCGUGCACACCACUGAACUCCUGGCAACACACCGAUCUGAUCUGUGAGAGCUGUUUACAAGAAGCCCAAACAAGGAGUUUGGGUUACCUGAUCUGAGACUGUUGGUUUAAUCCAAAGAUAAAAUCCAACGUCUGGAAAGAAAUGGAUUGAUUUUAUUCACAAGUCGUCCUUCCUCAAUACUGUAUUUCAAAAUAGAACUUUUACCAAGGAACAGAAAAGGGUCCAAAGUUUUGCUCAAAUACCCAAAGGGCAGGUAUUCUCUGCUGCCACGUAAAACCCGAGGUGCGGUCACCACGGUGGAAGAUGGGGAGGACCCGAGGAGGAGCAGAUGUGGAAGCGGGAGGCUAAGAGGAGCUGAGAGAGGCCGGUUUGUCGUGAGGGUGUUUCGAUGUCCAUCUCCCUUACCACACUGGAAGCUUCGUGUCAGCCGAGACUGUCCUCUGCUCCCACAUGCUCAGCCCCCUUGCCAGCCACAGCACAGGAUAAGGGCAUGAAGACAAGCGACCCAAGCUAGAACAUCACAGUUUCACUUUCCGAGGCUUUCUCCCUGGUCCGUUGAAGCAAUAAUUCCCCCUCUUUGACACAAGCUCACAUCCUGAUCUUUUGUGCUGUCAUUGAUUGUUGCAUAACCACCUGGGCAGGAUGACAGGGCAUUUGGGCCAGAGGGUCAGUUAAUACCAGCUUGUGGCAUGAGCACAGCCCCAUGCCCCUGGGGCGGGAGCCUGGGCACAGAGCCUCUGGGUCAUGAAGGCCCCCACUCCCAGUUCGUCCACCGCCAGCUGCCGGGGUGAUGCCCCGAAGAGCGGGAGCCUGCUGGCCAGGGGCGCUUGGCAGCUCUUGUUCCUGCUCCUGCUCCUGUGUGGACCCGGUCUGGUGAAAUUCCACACCCCACUGCUGGGGCUGCAGGCAGCCCUGGCAAGUGUGGCCUCCCACUGCCUCUCGGUCUGCAUGCUGGGCCUCUGCCUCCUGUGCUGUAGCAGCCUACAGGUGGGUGGGGGGCUCACCCUCAUCCUGGCCAGGAAGCUGUGCGUGGAGGUGCUGCUGCCCCUCCAACGGGCCUUGUGGCAGCCGCUGACCGUCGCGCAGAGCUGGGGCCUUCAGCUGCUCGCCACCCUGAUCCAUAGGGCCCCCUGCUGCGUCCUGCGGCUCCUGCGGUGGGAGGCCGGCCUGGCUCUGCUCUCCGUGGCCCAGUGGGCCUACUACGGCCUGGCCGACUUCCACCGGGAGAACACCAAGGUGUUGGGACUGCUGCUGCGAGCUGUGCUGCAGCAGGUGGCCGUGUCUCUGCUGGUCCGCUGCCUGGACAAGCUGUGGGUGGCCAUGGGAUGGGUGGCCCGGGCCAAGCCAGGCAGUGGCCUACAGCCCCUGGAGUGGGCCAGGCUGUGCCGGGAGGCCUCCAAAGACCUGGAUGCCAUCACCACUGUCCUUCCAGCCACCACUGUCCCUUUUAGCCAGCGUUUCCCUGGACCUGACCCAGCCACCCUGAGCAGGCUCCCGCUAGCCUCCAUCAGCCUGUGCCUAGUGGUUGCGGACAAGGAUACCAGCAAGGGAGAAGGAGGCCGUGGCUGUGCGACCAGCAAGGUGCCCAUUAGCACCAGGUUCCAGAGCCAUAGGACAAGCAAGAUGGCCUUCAGGUCUUCAUCCAAGCAGGCCCUCGCACGGCAAGUCAAGGCGACCUGUGUUCUCAUCAUUCUUCUGUAUAUCUGUGCCGCGUCUCUUUUUGUGCAGAUCUUAAAAUAAAUGAUCCAGUGUGAACCGGCCUCCGGGAUGUCCCUGACUUGCUUUGUCAGUGAGAGACUGAAUGGCCUCAGAUCUGUCCCCUGAAGCCUUUACUGGGCUCAGGGCAAGGGUGGGUGGUACCCAGCAUGCAAGCCCCAUGCAUCCCAGGGGCCUGGCUGGGGGACCUGAUCUCAGCUCUGUCACUGCUGUGUGUCCUUGGGGAGGUUUCUUCCCCCUUCUCAGCCCCA